GCGGCCGUAGCUCAAUGGUAGAGCCCCAGUCUUCCAAACUGGUCACGCGAGUUCGAUUCUCGUCGGCCGCUCCA
rnacentral:tRNA from 1 species